GCACCACAAGAGCGUGGAGUAUGUGGCUUAAUUCGACUCAACGCGCAACAAUUUACUUGGUCCGAACGCUUUGAGGAUUGACAGUUAUUGUAUAGUUCUGAUAUGGGUGGUAUUUGUAGUCAACGUGUAGGUAGUUGUAUAUUAAAUAUGAAAGUUCUUUUAUGAUUAUGUGAUAGGUGGUGCAUGGCCGUCCUUAAUUCGUGGAGUGAUUUGUCUGCUUAAUUGCGCAUUGCAAAUUGUAAUUGAUCUUUUACCAGUCUCGUUCUGAUUUUUGUUGUGAAUAUUGUAGAAUAUUGUUGUCGUCGAGUCAUUAUUGCCACUACGUCUGGUCCUUUGGGCAGAAUAGUGUUUUAUAUUUUGUCUUGCAACACAAAAUUCUUCACAAUAUUGUAGCCGUACUUCAUUGUAUGCGCUAUUCAUGUAUAUGUGACACAUUUGUGGUUCAAGACCAGUUCGGCUGCUUGUACACAUAUACACUCGACAUGAUCAUUCAGGCUGCUAGAGACCUUGUGUCUUGCCCCAAAGGUUGAUUAACACCGUGAGUGCAACGAGUGAGAUUGCAAGCCUUUGUUAUGUAGUGAACAACAUAUACCUACUACUACUACUACUACUUUGUAGUAAUGUAGGAUUCCAACUACACAGAAUAACCAUUAAGGUGAAAUGAACUCAGGCGACUGCUAUACUUUAAGAUGGUGGAAGUUGU
rnacentral:rRNA from 1 species